UACGUAGGGUGCGAGCGUUGUCCGGAAUUACUGGGCGUAAAGAGCUCGUAGGCGGUUUGUCGCGUCGUCUGUGAAACUUCUGCAACUCAAUUGUAGGCGUGCAGGCGAUACGGGCAGACUUGAGUACUACAGGGGGAGACUGGAAUUCCUGGUGUAGCGGUGAAAUGCGCAGAUAUCAGGAGGAACGACCGGUGGCGAAGGCGGGUCUCUGGGUAGUAACUGACGCUGAGGAGCGAAAGCGUGGGUAGCGAACAGG
rnacentral:rRNA from 1 species